rnacentral:rRNA from 1 species
AUUGAACGCUGGCGGCAGGCUUAACACAUGCAAGUCGAGCGGGGUAAUGGUGCUUGCACUAUCACUUAGCGGCGGACGGGUGAGUAAUGCUUAGGAAUCUGCCUAUUAGUGGGGGACAACAUCUCGAAAGGGAUGCUAAUACCGCAUACGUCCUACGGGAGAAAGCAGGGGAUCACUUGUGACCUUGCGCUAAUAGAUGAGCCUAAGUCGGAUUAGCUAGUUGGUGGGGUAAAGGCCUACCAAGGCGACGAGCUGUAGCGGGUCUGAGAGGAUGAUCCGCCACACUGGGACUGGGACACGGCCCAGACUCCUACGGGAGGCAGCAGUGGGGAAUAUUGGACAAUGGGGGGGACCCUGAUCCAGCCAUGCCGCGUGUGUGAAGAAGGCCUUAUGGUUGUAAAGCACUUUAAGCGAGGAGGAGGCUCUUUUGGUUAAUACCCAGAAUGAGUGGACGUUACUCGCAGAAUAAGCACCGGCUAACUCUGUGCCAGCCGCCGCAGUAAAAC